ACUCUGCCCAGAUGACCUCCAUUAUGACACAGCUGCUACCAGGCCUUCACAGCCUAAAACAUCACAGAGUGCCUGCAGGUGGCCGGAGAGCAAUGCUGAGCCCUGCCCUCUCCUGCAACUUGGACUUGGAGACCACAGGGAAGGAGACUUCAGGGUCUUGAGGACUGGGAGGAGCCACAGCCCAGGAGGAGGGCACAUCUGAGCCCCGGGAAUGAGCCCACACCCAGGGCGGCCCCCACUGGAGCCCAUAGCCCAUCCUGCCUCCUACAUGCUAGUGGGUGGGGUACCAGAAGGCCCCUGGCUCAGCCCCAUAUCUGCUCCAGCCAGGGUCAGGGGCUGAGGUGUGCCCCCGGGAAAGGGCCUGCCUCUGCCCCACAGUGGGGAUGGGAAGUGGGUGCCCAGCAGGCCCUCCUGAGAGUGAAUGCAGGAGGGUGGAAGGAUGGACUUUAAGCUUGUCCAGGUGCACUUCUGCUGGAGCAGUGGCCAAGAGCAGGCUGGAACCAUGAGGGGGAGGCAGGAGCUGCGACAGGCCCUGGGUUGGGCCCCCAGAAUGGCUGGAGCGUUGCAUCCUCUCAACAGUGUGUGAGGUGGAUGCCACUGUCUGCAUUCUGCUCGUAAGAAGGCCGAGGCACAUAGAGGAAAGCUGAGCACAAGCAAAGCCACUCCCCAGUCUGAUUCCCAUGAUCUACAAAUGGCAAUGCCACAGGGGCCUGCAGGAAAGGGGGUGGCCUCCCAUCACAGCCCUAGAUCCUAUAAGAGGAGAGGACUCGCAGGCUCAGGAGGUCAAGGGAAGAUGGAGGCAGAGACUGGGGUAAUGCUGCCACAAGCCAAGGAACGCCAGGAGCCACCAGAGGUUGGAAGAGGCAAGGGAGGGGCUUCCUCUAGAGGCUUCAGAGAGAGAACAGACCUGCCAACACAUUGUUGUGGACUCCUGGCUUCCUGAACUGCCAUUUUCUCCUCUCUCCAUCCACCUUGAUCCACUCCAGCCUUCAAGUCCAUCUCAACCAGCCAUUUCUGCUUCAAGGUCUGAUGGCAUCUCAACUUAUUAAUAAUAUGCAGGUGGAGCUCUUCAUUCUGCUGCCGUCCCUGGCCUGGUG
ensembl:lncRNA